rnacentral:lncRNA from 1 species
ACGAGUCAGGCUCAGGCUCAAGCCGGCCCAGUUUCACCACCAAAGAAACCUAUGAACCCUAUGUCACCCCUGUUAGAUUCCACCCUGAUGAGCCCUAUAACAGCAUCCCCGAAUCCUCCAACAAUAAAGACACUUACUACUACAACAAGAAUGCCUACGAGUCCACUAAGCAGCAAAACUUGGGCGAGGCCAUUUUCACCGAGAAAGGAUGGAGCACCAAGGAAAACCAGAACAACAACUACUACAACGGCAACAAUGGUUACAACAAUGGCGAGAAGCAAGGCAUGAGCGAUACUAGGUACUUGGAGAAUGGAAAGUACUACUAUGACGUCAAGAGUGAGAACAACUAUUAUCCAAACCGGUUCGACAACUCAAGAGGAGUUGCUUCGAGGAACCAGUUCAAU